AUUGAACGCUGGCGGCGUGCUUAACACAUGCAAGUCGAACGCGAAAGGGACUUCGGUCCUGAGUAAAGUGGCGCACGGGUGAGUAACGCGUGGAUAAUCUGCCCUUAUGAUUGGAAUAACAGUUGGAAACGGCUGCUAAUACCGGAUACGCUCAAAAUGAACUUUUUGAGGAAAGAUGGCCUCUGCUUGCAAGCUGUCGCAUAAGGAUGAGUCCGCGUCCCAUUAGCUUGUUGGCGGGGUAACGGCCCACCAAGGCAACAAUGGGUAGCCGAUUUGAGAGGCUGAUCGGCCACACUGGAACUGAAACCCGGUCCAGACUCCUACGGGAGUCAGCAGUGGGGAAUAUUGCGCAAUGGGCGAAAGCCUGACGCAGCGACGCCGCGUGAGGGAUGAAGGUUUUCGGAUCGUAAACCUCUGUCAGAAGGGAAGAAACUACGUUGUGCUAAUCAGCAGCGUACUGACGGUACCUUCAAAGGAAGCACCGGCUAACUCCGUGCCAGCAGCCGCGGUAA
rnacentral:rRNA from 1 species